UGCCAGCCGCCGCGGUAAUACGAAGGGGGCUAGCGUUGUUCGGAAUUACUGGGCGUAAAGCGCGCGUAGGCGGUGUUCCAUGUCAGAGGUGAAAUCCCGGAGCUCAACUUCGGAAUUGCCUUUGAAACGGGGACACUUGAGUCCGAGAGAGGAUGGCGGAAUUCCUAGUGUAGAGGUGAAAUUCGUAGAUAUUAGGAAGAACACCGGUGGUGAAGGCGGCCAUCUGGCUCGGCACUGACGCUGAGGAACGAAAGCAUGGGUAUCAAACGGGAUUAGAUA
rnacentral:rRNA from 1 species